rnacentral:lncRNA from 1 species
UGCUUGUGGUGAUCAUGGAUUAACCUUGGAGAUCAAUCAAGCAUGGGGAGAGUCAACAAUAGUGAGAGACAUUCUCUCUUUUUUACACCACAGUUUUCUAGAUGUAGAUUUUGUUGGAGAAUCAGGGGAUCUACAAAUGAUUCAAGGUGGGGUAAUAGCUCAGUUCCCCUAUUUAUUUAUUGAUAUGUUUUUUCUUUGAACACUGACUAGUAUUGAAAGGAUGGAUUUCAAGAGAAUGGGGAGGGACUGGGCCAGAUCUAUUCAGACACCAUGAAACCAGCUGUAC